UACGUAGGGCGCAAGCGUUGUCCGGAAUUAUUGGGCGUAAAGAGCUCGUAGGCGGCUUGUCACGUCGGGUGUGAAAGCCCGGGGCUUAACCCCGGGUCUGCAUUCGAUACGGGCUAGCUAGAGUGUGGUAGGGGAGAUCGGAAUUCCUGGUGUAGCGGUGAAAUGCGCAGAUAUCAGGAGGACCACCGGUGGCGAAGGCGGAUCUCUGGGCCAUUACUGACGCUGAGGAGCGAAAGCGUGGGGAGCGAACAGG
rnacentral:rRNA from 1 species